rnacentral:rRNA from 1 species
CACAGCAGAGCUUGCUCUGUGGGUGGCGAGUGGCGGACGGGUGAGGAAUACAUGGGAAUCUGCCCAGUCGUGGGGGAUAACGUAUGGAAACGUACGCUAAUACCGCAUGCGCCCUUCGGGGGAAAGCCGGGGAUCUUCGGACCUGGCGCGAUUGGAUGAGCCCAUGUCGGAUUAGCUAGUUGGAGGGGUAAAAGCCCACCAGGGCUACGAUCCGUAGCUGGUCUGAGAGGAUGAUCAGCCACACUGGAACUGAGACACGGUCCAGACUCCUACGGGAGGCAGCAGUAGGGAAUAUUGGACAAUGGGCGCAAGCCUGAUCCAGCCAUGCCGCGUGUGUGAAGAAGGCCUUCGGGUUGUAAAGCACUUUUAUCCGGAAAGAAAAGCGCUGGGUUAAUACCCUGGUGUUCUGACGGUACCGGAAGAAUAAGCACCGGCUAACUUCGUGCCAGCAGCCGCGGUAAUACGAAGGGUGCAAGCGUUACUCGGAAUUACUGGGCGUAAAGCGUGCGUAGGUGGUUUGUUAAGUCUGAUGUGAAAGCCCUGGGCUCAACCUGGGAAUUGCAUUGGAUACUGGCAGGCUAGAGUGCGGUAGAGGGUAGUGGAAUUCCCGGUGUAGCAGUGAAAUGCGUAGAGAUCGGGAGGAACAUCUGUGGCGAAGGCGACUACCUGGACCAGCACUG